UGCAGGAUAGCUCACUUGGUAAAGCAUGAGACUCUCAACCUCAGGGUCGUGGGUUCGAGCACCACGUUGGGCAA